UAUCUAUCUAUCUAUCUAUCUAUCUAUCUAUCUAUCAACUAAUCUAUCUCUCUAUAUGAGAUUUAUUGGAAUGACCUGCAGGUCAAACUCUAUCUAAUCCUACAAUGGCUGACUGUGAAUGGAAAAGUCCAAGAAUCCAGUAGUUUCUCAGCCUACAAGGCUUGUUGUUGCAGCUGGUCUUCAGUAUAUUCUGCAUUUGCCAAGAAGUAGGACCCGAUCCCAAUGAAGGUAUGGACAUGCCAGCGAGGUGAAUACAAGCAGAUUCUAGUCCAGUCAUCAUCAGAGAUGUUUC
rnacentral:lncRNA from 1 species